GACGAACGCUGGCGGCGUGCCUAAUACAUGCAAGUCGAGCGGACAGAAGGGAGCUUGCUCCCGGAAGUUAGCGGCGGACGGGUGAGUAACACGUGGGCAACCUACCCUGUAGAUCGGGAUAACAUCGAGAAAUCGGUGCUAAUAACGGAUAAUCAUUUGAAGUGCAUGCUUCGAAUGUAAAAGAUGGCUCCGGCUAUCACUACGGGAUGGGCCCGCGGCGCAUUAGCUAGUUGGUAAGGUAAUGGCUUACCAAGGCAACGAUGCGGAGCCGACCUGAGAGGGUGAUCGGCCACACUGGGACUGAGACACGGCCCAGACUCCUACGGGAGGCAGCAGUAGGGAAUCUUCCGCAAUGGACGAAAGUCUGACGGAGCAACGCCGCGUGAGUGUUGAAGGUUUUCGGAUCGUAAAGCUCUGUUGUUAGGGAAGAACAAGUGCCGUUUGAAUAAGGCGGCACCUUGACGGUACCUAACCAGAAAGCCACGGCUAACUACGUGCCAGCCGCCGCCGUAACAC
rnacentral:rRNA from 1 species